UACGGAGGGAGCUAGCGUUGUUCGGAAUUACUGGGUGUAAAGCGCACGUAGGCGGCUUUGUAAGUUAGAGGUGAAAGCCCGGGGCUCAACCCCGGAAUUGCCUUUAAGACUGCAUCGCUUGAAUCCGGGAGAGGUGAGUGGAAUUCCGAGUGUAGAGGUGAAAUUCGUAGAUAUUCGGAAGAACACCAGUGGCGAAGGCGGCUCACUGGACCGGCAUUGACGCUGAGGUGCGAAAGCGUGGGGAGCAAACAGG
rnacentral:rRNA from 1 species